AAGGAUCAUUAGAAAUGCGGUUGGUCUCAUCAGAGAUCAGCCAACACUUUUAAUCUGUGCACCGUUACCAUGGGAACAGCGUACCUGAAUUUUGUUUUGGUACUCCGUUCCCUGCCCUGGGUUAACCCGCCACUUCCUUUGGGAUGAGGUUAUGGUUGCCCAGAGUUUUUAUACUAUUUUGACUGAAAAACGAAAAUUGUUAAUUUUAAUAAACAACUUUCAGCAAUGGAUCUCUCGGCUUUC
rnacentral:misc_RNA from 1 species